AGUCUUAUAUUCAUAUUUGUAUGAUAAUAGAAUGCAAUUCUAUAGGAGUAAGUAAUUUUACUAAGGCUU
rnacentral:tRNA from 1 species